GCCGGGCGUUGUAGCGGGCGCCAGUAGUCCCAGCUACUCAGGAGGCUGAGGCAGGAGAGUGGUGUGAACCCGGGAGGUGGCGCUUGCAGUGAGCCCAGAUCGCGCCACUGCACUCCAGCCUGGGCGACAGAGCGAGACUCUGUUUGAAAAAAAAAGGAAAANNNNNNNNNNUUUUUUUUUUUUUUUUUUUUGAGACGGAGUCUCGCUCUGUCGCCCAGGCUAUAGUGCAGUGGUGCGAUCUUGGCUCACUGCAACCUCCGCCUCCUGGGCUCAAGCAAUUCUCGUGCCUCAU
rnacentral:SRP_RNA from 1 species